UGAGUAACACGUAUCCAACCUGCCGUCUACUCUUGGACAGCCUUCUGAAAGGAAGAUUAAUACAAGAUGGCAUCAUGAGUCCGCAUGUUCACAUGAUUAAAGGUAUUCCGGUAGACGAUGGGGAUGCGUUCCAUUAGAUAGUAGGCGGGGUAACGGCCCACCUAGUCUUCGAUGGAUAGGGAUUCUGAGAGGAAGGUCCCCCACAUUGGAACUGAGACACGGUCCAA
rnacentral:rRNA from 1 species